UACGUGAGGGUGCAAGCGUUAAUCGGAAUUACUGGGCGUAAAGCGUGCGUAGGCGGUACUGUAGUACCUUGUGAAAUCCCACAGCUCAACUGUGGAACUGCUUGGUAUACUGCUUGUCUUGAGCCACUUAGGGGCAGUCGGAACAGACGGUGGAGCGGUGAAAUGCGUAGAUAUCGUCUGGAACGCCAAAGGUGAAAACAGACUGCUGGGAGUGUGCUGACGCUGAGACACGAAAGCCAG
rnacentral:rRNA from 1 species